rnacentral:rRNA from 1 species
UGGUGGAGUGAUUUGUCUGGUUAAUUCCGUUAACGAACGAGACCUUAACCUGCUAAAUAGUUACAUGUAAUUUCGAUUAUGUGGGCAACUUCUUAGAGGGACUGUGUGUGCAUUAUGCAAGGAAGUUUGAGGCAAUAGCA